AGUGCGGCGUAAGUGCCAUCGACAAUAAGGUCCCUUUUCAUAGAUAAUGCCAUAAAUAAUGUUCUUUUAAUAGGUUUUUAAAAAUGGGGAGUGAUUUCGUACAUCUAAUAUCAAUGGGUAGAUUAUUCCAAAGCCGGACAGCGAGGAAAAUGAAAGAGUUGUUGUAAAAUUUUGAAGAAGAAGGAGGGGUAACAAGUAGCAGAUCUUGAGAGCAUCUAAGUGAUGAAAGAAAUUUAAACCGGGCUUUAAGAUAACAAGGCGUGUUGGGGCGAAACAGAGUGGCAUACAGGAGGGAAAGAAUAUGUGUGUUGCUACGGAAUCGGAUGGGUAACCAUUUGAACUGCAAACGAAAGCUUGAAAUAUGAUCGAAUACGCGCAACCCGAAAAUGAACCAAGAACAAUAAGAAGAAUGAGAUACGAUAACGAUAAAUUCUGGUUUAGAUAAGUUCUCAUUUAGAUAUUGUAUGUAUGUCAUAUAAUUGACAGAAGCAGCGUUGGAAUCACGGCGGAAUCGAAAUAAACGUCAAUUUUGACAUAUUGUUUAGCUAUUGAUCUUUCCAACAUCUUUAACGUGUCUUUAACGUGGCUUCGAAUCGGGCCGAUACAAUAUAAUUAUUUGUUAUUAAAAUCUUUCAACUUGAAGGGCAUAUACAGGGUGAUUCAGGAGACGUGAGCAGGAUCAACCCUACAUAUGCAGUUAAUAUUACUGCAUCGUUUAACAUCGUAAGUUAGUUAAACCACCACAUCUUUUUAUUAUUUUUUUACUAUUUGUUAAAUAAGAGUUUAAGUCUCUAAUCAUGGUCACCCUAUAAUGAGUAAUUGAUAAAGAUACCCAACCUCUUUAACUGUAAUGACAGCACUUAAUAAAGAAUAAAAUAAAUUGUCAUUUUUGGCAUUGUCAACAGUCACGUUUGUUGAUAUUGUUGAAUUCUGCAAAAAAAGUUCUUUAAAAUCAUGCCUCCGCCAUAUCAUUAUUCAAACAUUGAAAGAUGCGACAUGGUAAGGCUUUACUAUCAGACCAAUAAUACAUACAGAGCAAAGGACUUAUUCCAUGAGCGUUACCCGAAUUUGCCAGUGCCAACACAUGGAUUAAUACUCCGGAUGGUUCAAAAUUUACGUGACUAUGGGCAAUUUACAGUGCCCACUCACGCACAAGCACGAGGUGGCCAGCAUCGUGAUUUAGAAAGGUUGGACAGACGAAUUCUAAAUUAUUUUGCUCGAGACCCGCGGCGAAGUACACGGAAAGCUUCCAGACAAUACCAUGUGUCUCAGUCAUACGUUUGGCGGCUAUUAAAUGCUACGGGGCUUCACCCGUAUCACUAUCAACCGGUUCAAGAUAUAUCGCCAGAUGAUUUCCCCUUAAGAAGGCAGUUUUGUCAGUGGCUUUUGGAGAAUGAACAAGCAAACAUUCUUUGGACCGACGAGUCAAGUUUUACGCGAAUCGGACUUUUCAAUGUUCACAAUGAACACUACUGGAGUGUUUGACGACCAGUCUGGCCUAGUGGGUAGUGACCCUGCCUACGAAGCCGAUGGUUCCGGGUUCAAAUCCUGGUAAGGGCAUUUAUUCGUGUGAUGAGCAUCAAUAUUUGUUCCUGAGUCAUGGGUGUUUUCUAUGUAUUUAAGUAUUUAUAAAUAUUUAUAUAUUAUAUAUAUCGUUGUCUAAGUACCCUCAACACAAGCCUUAUUGAGCUUACUGUGGGACUUAGUCAAUUUGUGUAAUAAUGUCCUAUAAUAUUUAUAAUAUUUUAUAAUAUUUAUAUUUAUUUAUGAACCCCAAUCUCACGCGACGGAAUGCGUAUCAAACACGCUUCAGUCUCAACGUUUGGGUUGGAAUAGUGAAUAAUACCAUCAUUGGACCUCAUUUUAUUGAAGGACGACUUAAUGGUGCUGCUUAUUUGGACAUUUUAAGAGACGUGAUUCCGAUCCUUUUGGACGAUGUACCAUUGAAAUAUCGUCAACAUUUGUAUUAUCAGCACGACGGGGCACCGGCACAUUAUGAACAUCGUGUCCGUGAUUAUUUGAACGAUCAUUUUCCGAAUCGAUGGAUUGGACGCGGUGGGCCAGUCCCUUGGCCACCGCGUAGCCCUGAUCUAACUCCACUAGAUUUUUUUCUUUGGGGUGAGAUCAAACAACAUGUUUACGAACGCGAAAGUGCCACCGUGCAGGAACUACGGCAAUGCAUUAUUACAGCUUUUGACACGGUCAAAGCAAACAAUUUUGCUCUAGAGAGACUAAAAAAUCAUCACACGCGACGGGCGGGAUUCUGUUUACAACAAGGCGGCUCACAUUUUGAGCAACUUUUAAAGUAUCAAUAAUUAUUUGUAAUUACGUAAAAUUAUUACCUUAUUUCACUAGAAAGAAGUUUCUUUUAAUUUUGUUUCAAUGUUUUAUACAGUUUUAUUGUUUGAUUUUACAAUUAAAAAAUUUGCCAUGCGAGUUUCAUACGUUUAUUUAUUUUAAGUAAUGUUGCACUAGGUAUGAAUUACAUACUUAAGGAAGAUACGAUGUUUCCAAAGUAAGUAGACUCCUCAGAUGACAUACGACAUUUCAAAAGUAACUAGACCGACGUGUUAUGUGCUGACAAUCAAUUUGAUUUGACGUUGACUAGACAAAUGAGAACCGGUACAUGACUGAAGUAUUCUAAUUGUAGAGUGACCAAACUUAACGUGCAAAAUUAAAAAUACUUUGUUUUUUUUAACACUUCAAAAAAAUUAACUUAAUCACACUAAUACUAGUAUGAGAGAGUAGCUUAUAGUUAAUUGAACCCGUAGGGUUGAUCCUGCUCACGACUCCUGAAUCACCCUGUAUAGCCUGGAGGUUAGUCGAGAACUAACACGAAAGAAUAAAUCAUCCUCAUCCUGGGGAUGGUCAUGAACCAACACGAAGGAAUAAAUGAUCCUGGGGGUUUGGUCGUGAAACAACACGAAGGAAAGUCUGUUCAUAUUUCGAACACUGAUUUCGCCCGGGGGUUGAUCGUGAACAAACACGAAAGAUUCAUAUUGGUGCAUUUUUCAGAAUACCCAUAUAUUUUGUGGGAAAUUUAUUGCCUUUAAAAUGGGAAUUAUGUUGUGUUAUAGAGCUGAGGGAGGCUUUCUUUUUAUUUAGUUUUAGAUGGCCCAACAUAUACAAUAUAUUUGAAUAUCUAAUAUCCAAUUAUGUCUGACAGAAUAACUUUUACUCACACCUAACCCAUAGUACGGCAUUAAAUCAGAAAAGACGUAUGAAUCCUCAAAAGU